rnacentral:lncRNA from 1 species
AGACCAACAAGGAAUACGUACGGAGAGGAGACACAUUCGUGCGCACACACACACGCACACACACACACACACACACACACACGCGCACGCGCGCACACACACACACACACACACACACACACACACACACACACACACACAGAGGCGCGCGCCACACACAGGCGCGCACACACACCCUCCCUCCGUCCCUCCCUCUCUCCCGCCGGCUCGACUGCCUCUGCCUCUGCCUCUCGCUUGCAGCCGGCAGCUGCACCUGCUCGCCUCCAGCCCUCGCCCCCAGCCCUCGCCCUUAGGACUCGCUCGAGCGGGGCCGGGGAUGUGGUCCCGGAGUGGCGGCGCGGGGACGCCGGAGCCCAGCGGCCUCCUGCCCCCACUAUCCCUGAGCUCUCAAUCGCAGCAGGCCCGAGAAGGAAAGUGACCAGGGCAGCAACUGGAGCCUGGGCUGAACAAGUUAAGGGGAUUUUCUGCCCACCUUCCAGGUUGUCCUCCAGCCAAAGGUCUGUCCAUUUGCUGAGAACUGAUAAAACUUCUGCCUCAGGUAAGUGGUCUCUGAAAUUUUUAAAAAAAAGAUUUAUUACAAACUUAAUAUUAAGCAUCAAUACAAGUAAUUA